GCAGUGUAAUGCUUUGAUUAAGCACCUGCUGGACAAUCUGAUCCACCUGCUGCCAGACAUGUAUCUUCAUGCAUCCGCCAGCAACACAGCAAUUAAAGGUUACCAAAACUGGACGACUUGGGCGAAUGAGAAAACGAUUCAGAGGUUUUUGGAGGAAUUUGUGCUCAUGCACUCACAGCAGUGACAUAGAGCAUGAAAAAGCCUCUGGAGACCAGAUAUAGAAGAGUAAAGAAACAUGAGGGAUGGCUUGUAAGGGCCACCGAAAGACACGGGGGUCGGUAAGGGCCACCAAAAGACAAUGGGGUUGGUGAGGGUUUACUGGAAGACACUGGGCUUGGUGAGGGUCACCGGA